rnacentral:rRNA from 1 species
AUACCUACGGGACGCAGCAGUGGGGAAUAUUGCGCAAUGGGGGAAACCCUGAUGCAGCAACGCCGCGUGAGUGAAGAAGGUUUUCGGAUUGUAAAGCUCUGUUAGCAGGGAAGAGGAAGGACGGUACCUGCAGAGGAAGCCACGGCUAACUACGCGCCAGCAGCCGCGGUAAUACGUAGGUGGCAAGCGUUGUUCGGAAUAACUGGGCGUAAAGGAUGCGUAGGCGGUUAAACAAGUUAUAUGUUAAAUAUAUAGGCUUAACCUGUAGAAAGCAUAUAAAACCGUUUAAAUAGAGAGCAGGAGAG